rnacentral:rRNA from 1 species
GGCGUAAGGGCUCGCAGGCGGUUUCUUAAGUCUGAUGUGAAAGCCCCCGGCUCAACCGGGGAGGGUCAUUGGAAACUGGGGAACUUGAGUGCAGAAGAGGAGAGUGGAAUUCCACGUGUAGCGGUGAAAUGCGUAGAGAUGUGGAGGAACACCAGUGGCGAAGGCGACUCUCUGGUCUGUAACUGACGCUGAGGAGCGAAAGCGUGGGGAGCGAACAGGAUUAGAUACCCUGGUAGUCCACGCCGUAAACGAUGAGUGCUAAGUGUUAGGGGGUUUCCGCCCCUUAGUGCUGCAGCUAACGCAUUAAGCACUCCGCCUGGGGAGUACGGUCGCAAGACUGAAACUCAAAGGAAUUGACGGGGGCCCGCACAAGCGGUGGAGCAUGUGGUUUAAUUCGAAGCAACGCGAAGAACCUUACCAGGUCUUGACAUCCUCUGACAAUCCUAGAGAUAGGACGUCCCCUUCGGGGGCAGAGUGACAGGUGGUGCAUGGUUGUCGUCAGCUCGUGUCGUGAGAUGUUGGGUUAAGUCCCGCAACGAGCGCAACCCUUGAUCUUAGUUGCCAGCAUUCAGUUGGGCACUCUAAGGUGACUGCCGGUGACAAACCGGAGGAAGGUGGGGAUGACGUCAAAUCAUCAUGCCCCUUAUGACCUGGGCUACACACGUGCUACAAUGGACAGAACAAAGGGCAGCGAAACCGCGAGGUUAAGCCAAUCCCACAAAUCUGUUCUCAGUUCGGAUCGCAGUCUGCAACUCGACUGCGUGAAGCUGGAAUCGCUAGUAAUCGCGGAUCAGCAUGCCGCGGUGAAUACGUUCC